rnacentral:rRNA from 1 species
AGAGUUGAUCCUGGCUCAGAUUGAACGCUGGCGGCAGGCCUAACACAUGCAAGUCGAGCGGUAGAGAGAAGCUUGCUUCUCUUGAGAGCGGCGGACGGGUGAGUAAUGCCUAGGAAUCUGCCUGGUAGUGGGGGAUAACGUUCGGAAACGGACGCUAAUACCGCAUACGUCCUACGGGAGAAAGCAGGGGACCUUCGGGCCUUGCGCUAUCAGAUGAGCCUAGGUCGGAUUAGCUAGUUGGUGAGGUAAUGGCUCACCAAGGCGACGAUCCGUAACUGGUCUGAGAGGAUGAUCAGUCACACUGGAACUGAGACACGGUCCAGACUCCUACGGGAGGCAGCAGUGGGGAAUAUUGGACAAUGGGCGAAAGCCUGAUCCAGCCAUGCCGCGUGUGUGAAGAAGGUCUACGGAUUGUAAAGCACUUUAAGUUAGGAGGAAGGGUUGUAGAUUAAUACUCUGCAAUUUUGACGUUACCGACAGAAUAAGCACCGGCUAACUCUGUGCCAGCAGCCGCGGUAAUACAGAGGGUGCAAGCGUUAAUCGGAAUUACUGGGCGUAAAGCGCGCGUAGGUGGUUUGUUAAGUUGGAUGUGAAAUCCCCGGGCUCAACCUGGGAACUGCAUUCAAAACUGACUGACUAGAGUAUGGUAGAGGGUGGUGGAAUUUCCUGUGUAGCGGUGAAAUGCGUAGAUAUAGGAAGGAACACCAGUGGCGAAGGCGACCACCUGGACUAAUACUGACACUGAGGUGCGAAAGCGUGGGGAGCAAACAG